rnacentral:rRNA from 1 species
UUGGAUAACCGUGGGAAAUCUAGAGCUAAUACAUGCAGUUUAUUGGCGUAGUCGCAAGAUUGCGUCAAAGCAUUUAUUAGACUUAACCAUCUACUGUACGCAAGUAUAGUAAGGCGAAUCUAGAUAACUUUGCUGAUCGUAUGGCCCUGUGCCGACGACGUUUCAAUUGAGUUUCUGCCCUAUCAAUUUGUUGGUAAGGUAUUGGCUUACCAAGGUUGCAACGGGUAACGGGGAAUCAGGGUUCGAUUCCGGAGAGGGAGCCUGAGAAACGGCUACCACAUCCAAGGAAGGCAGCAGGCGCGCAAAUUACCCAAUCUAGACAGUAGGAGGUGGUGAAGAGAAGUACUUAGUGGUGGCCUAAUGGUCCCAACUAGGAAUGAACGUAAUUUAAGCAAUUCGAUGAGUAACUACUGGAGGGCAAGUCCUGGUGCCAGCAGCCGCGGUAAUUCCAGCUCCAGUGGCGUGAUUUAAAGUUGCUGCGUUUAAAACGCUCGUAGUUGGAUCACGCAGCAGCAUACAGUUACACAGAUUGGUUUAUUUGACGAUUUUCUUUCAAAGAUUAUUGAAUUUUGGCUGGUCUGUGUGUUAACGCUGUAUGCUGCUAUUUGCACACAAGUAUGGUAUUUGGCCUUUAGUGAGUCGAGUAUCAUGUCUUGUGGGGUGUGCCUUGAAUAAAACAGAGUGCUCAAAGCAGGCGAACGCUUUGAAUGUUAUAGCAUGGAACGAACAAACGUGUAUUUGCGUAUAUUUGAUAAGGUCGAGGGCAACUUUGACCUGUUGGAUAUAUGCAGCACCCGCCAAAAUACGGAUGUUGGUUUUCGUAUAAGGUGAUGAUUAACAGGAGCGGUUGGGGGCAUUGGUAUUUGGCCGCGAGAGGUGAAAUUCUUGGACCGGCCAAGGACUAACAGAUGCGAAGGCGUUUGUCUAGACCGUUUCCAUUAAUCAAGAACGAAAGUGGGAGGUUCGAAGACGAUCAGAUACCGUCCUAGUUCCCACUAUAAACUAUGCCGACCUGGGAUCAGUUUAGUGAUUAACAAGCACUAGGUUGGUCCCCCUGGGAAACCUAAAGUUUUUCGGUUACGGGGAGAGUAUGGUCGCAAGUCUGAAACUUAAAGGAAUUGACGGAAGGGCACCACCAGGGGUGGAGCCUGCGGCUUAAUUUGACUCAACACGGGGAAACUUACCUGGUCCGGACAUCGAAAGGAUAGACAGACUGAUAGAUCUUUCUUGAUGCGGUGAGUGGUGGUGCAUGGCCGUUCUUAGUUCGUGGAGUGAUCUGUCAGGUUUAUUCCGGUAACGAACGAGACCACUUUCUCCAUUUAAGAAACGGUAGCAGGGAGUUGGCUUGAAAUUGUUUCGGCAGUUUCGGGUUGAUUUUCGCAGAUAGAAUUGUUAAAUUCCAUGGAAGGGUGCUGAGGGGCAACCUGAGGUAUUUGACUGUGGAAGGAGAUGAUUUUUCCUAUCGUUAUGCAGUGUAAGGCAAAACCUUCACGCUGUCUUAUGGAGAGACAACAGGUUUAUAAAAGCC